ACCUUGGGUGCCCCUGACAGUUCUCUAAGAGGCAUGCCCAAGAGCUGAACACAGCUGCCACACACAGUGAUUCAGCAAUUUACCAGUAGAAAAUAUGACAGCGAGAAGAGGAGAAUUUUUCAUCCUGGAUUUGGAAGAGGAAGAGAAGACAACAGACCACUGAAGGAAUGAAUGCUCCUCAGGCCAUGUUGCAGGAGACAACACAUGCACAGCACUGCUUCCUGAGAUCACACUGUGCCUCUCCAGGCAACACCAUUUCAUUAAAAUGAAAUAUCAGCUCUUCCUCAAAUCGUCAAGUUAAAAAGCAUACCUUAAUGAGAGCUCUCUCAAUCUUUCUAUUAAAUGAUUCCAUGUGGGUGUGACGUGGCUCCAUGAAGAAAUGAAAGGAGUGUCAGGAGAGAUGGGAGUGACAUGCCCUUGAUGAUAAUUAGCGGCGUGUAUAUAGCAUCCCAAUACUGGAUGGAGAGAUGGAAGAACACAGCUGUGAGCCCCAGCAGCCUGUUACUUUUGCUUUGGCUUCUUUAGCCCAGCCUCCUGCCUUCUUAAUCCAUAACACUCCCUCCCUCGAUUACUCCAUGCUCAGGAAAGCACAACCCAUCUCUGAGUUGCUCUGAUGCGAUAUAUGUACUUUUUGUCUAGCUUCUACCCCUUUCAACUGUGUGACACCUGAGCUUAUGCUCUGGGUCCUUUUUUUUUUUUUUUUUUUUGUCUCUGCUUCUUACAUUUUCCUUCUCUUUCUUCUUGCGCCCUCUCCCCAACUUUUACUAGUGUGAGCAGAAGUCACUUUUCGGGCAUGCCCUGGGCCCGUUUAGAAGAUUUCAAGAGUAAGGUCUGCUGGAAAUGUCUCUGAAGCAUCAAUGUAAUGGAUUAGAUCUCUGAAGUUGCUAUUUUUAAAGCUAUUUGCUUGAAAACAGGAAACUAACUCUAAAGGUUUCAAUAGAUUUAUUAGUUCACAAAUAACUAUUGAACAUCUAGACACAACCCCUGCUUGCAAAGAGCUCAAAAUUUGCUAGGAGGAGACAAAAUGCAAAAUUCGCUAGGAGGAGACCAAAACAAAACAAAACAAAACAAAAACAACAACAAAAUCCCCAAAACAAAACAAAACAAAAAACCUUCAGUAUAGUGUUGUUCUUACAAAUAGAAAUAAAAAUUUGGGCAUAAAAUCAUUCAGAAAGGACAGGGAAGAAUUUAUUGAAAGGGUAACUUUUGAUCAAGCUCUUAAAAGAUAAACAUUCUCCAGGUAAGAUGGGGGUGAGUGUUCAGGGAAACAUGUCCAAGCUGGGAGGCAUGGAAAAGUGUGGUGGAUUUAGGGAAAUUCCAAAAUUCCAUAUUCCUGGAACUAAGGGUAUGAGAAGUUACCUUGAUUGCGAAAUAUGUAAUCAGGAAUGCCUUGAACAUGGUACUGAGGAAUUCUGACUUUACCUCAUUGGUGAAAUGGGGCCACGGAAGGGUAUCAAUAGGGAUUAGUAAUCAGGUCUUUGUGCUUAAAAUAUUAAUAUGGAUAAUAUAUUGGAGUGGACAAAAUUAGACUCAGGAAGACAAGUUAAAAUGGUAUUACCACAAUCUGGUUAAGAGAUGAUGAGGCCUUAAAUUGAGAACAGAACAAUAGGAUGUGGAGAGAAAGCUUUGAGAGCAGUUAGUAGUUGAGAAAAUUGUCUAAAUAUCAAGCAAGAUGAGAUUUUUAAUAAUUUUUAAAAAGCCAUUCUCUAAUAAAUUUCUGCACUGACACCUUAGAGCUGGUGAUUAGAUGGGGUGGAUUGGGGGUGGACUGAAUGUGGACUUGGAAAUCAGAGAAGCCUACACUUCUGACCCAAGUCCAUCACUUCCAAGAUGGAUUACUUAUGGUCAGAUACUUACCUGUCUGACCCUCAGUGAACUGGAGGUAAUUCCAGCCUUGCAAGAUUGUUGGGACGUUUAAAUAAAUUAUGAAGAAUAUUUGGUAUAUGUGGAUAGCCAAUUAGCUUGCUUUCUGCCCUCUUUUUCAACUCUAAAAUCCAUGGGAAUGGGUCCUUUAACAUAAAAAGACAACUUCUUUUUUUGAAUUGGCUGUCUGAGAGCCUAAAAUUUUCUUAAUAAGCAAUUUAUUUUUUUCCUGGUAGGAUCAGGCCCAGAGCACCACUCUGUAAUGAAAUUUCCAAGUGACAGUUAUGUUAAAUGUAACAAAAUUGUAAUAUGCCUAGAGCUGACAUAUUCCAAUCGAUAUACUUGUUGGACAAAACAUCAGAUUCAAUAAAGCCGUCCAAUGCCACUUGCAUUGCCAAUUGGAUUAUAAAUGACUUCUGAUAAUAAGUGAAAAUCCCCAAUGUGAAACAGUUAUUUCAAGCCAAAUGCUGUUCAGAAAAGUUGUUCUGCAUCUCCUGAGAAGCUUUCAGAAACAGCUUUGAAUUAAAUCUAUCCCACUGUGUAAAUAAGCAAUUAUCAACUACACCAAUAGGAAAAAGCUAUCAAAAAGGGAGAUUUGGUAUCAAUGAUUGCUAUAAUCAUUAGUAAAUGUCAUGUUGAUGAAAACUUUCUACACUAGGCCAAUUUGCCAAGACACUUUUUAAAUUAGAAGGCUAACAGGAAGAUUUUGUUUUCAUAAGGUUUGUCUAAGAUUACCACUGUGAAAUACAAAGUAGAAGUAUCUCUUGGAAGCAUAAUUCUAUAGCUAAAUUUGCAAAAACAAAACAAACUGAGACUAAAACAGUUACAAAGGAAAGCCUACGAGAAUUUUAUCUGAUAACAGUACAUACAAAUAUGUACUUACAAAAUAAUAAAAAUGAGAAAAUUCGGCCUUCAAAGAGACCACUGAUAUUGAGUCAGAAAUCGCCAAACUAUAUCCAAAAUUUAGCAAAGCCUGUGACUUGUAGGGACUUCUUGGGACACAAAAUUAACAUUUUUUAUCAACCACUCUGUGGCUGAUACUAUGAUGAUUAUUUUAAAUGCAAUAUUACUUAUAAUACAGAAAUCCUAUGUGCUAGGAGGGAACAGUAAGCCUUAGAGAGUUUAGAUAACUUGUCCAAACUCAUAGAGCUAAAAAUAAGUUUGCAUGAUUCAUACAGCAAAAAAAGGAGUUCAAGUAAUUUGCUCAAAUUUACACAGUAUUUUGAACUCAUGGCUAUCUAGCUUGAAAUUUCUGCUGUUUCCACUAUCCUGAGUAUAGUCUUUUAAAGCUUCUGUAUUAUCACCUGCAAAAUGGGAAUGAUGCCUAUUUCCAGAUGUAUUAGUCAGGAUUUCAACAGGAAACUGAUGUACACCCAAACUAGGUAACUGAAGAUUCCAAUAAAGGGACGAUUUACUAUAGUGCGAGUACAUAUAUGGAAAAAGGGACAGUGCCCUGGCCAGAAAUAAGGGAGACCCUUUACCACCCUGUGGCCUUCAAGGGCAGGAAAGAAAGUGAUUACUGGAAGUGCCAAGAAAGUUCUAGAGAGGGCUUCUGGCCAGAAGCUGAGGGUUUCCACAGGAAAACACGGCCAGUGUCAACCUUGCUGUGUGCUGAGUGGGACUGAUAUCCUAUCAUCAUCCUCCUUUCACCCUAUGAUGGCCUGUGAUUGCCUUCCAACUGGAUACCAUCCCGACACAGCCCAUACAGGUCAGCUGUCCAGGCCCAGAGCAGAAUGGAGUAUGGAUCUGGAGGGGCAAAUAGAGAGUAUCCAACACAGUAGUAUUAAGUGAGAAGACGUUCUGAGAACAUGAAAUACAUACGCUGGAGAUGAUACAGCAAUAGUAGUAGCUUGUGUAUUGAGAGCUUAUUAUAUGCCAAGAAUCAUUCUAAGCACUUUUAAAUAUUAUAUAUUUUUUAUUUUCGCAACAAUCUUAUGAGAUAGGAACUAAUAUCUUCACUUCCAAGGUGAAGAAACUGAGACUUACAGAAGUGAUAUAAUUUGGCCAAAGUAAUAAGUACCAGUACUAGAAUAAGAACCAAGGCUGUAGAAACCCAGGUCUCACUCUUAUCUCUGCGGUAUCACUGGGUGUAUGUAAGGCUUGGGGAAUCGUGGCAGGUUAUUAGCAGUAUAAACAGAUCCCUUAUAUUUGAUUAUUUUUAUUAGUCUAUUAAUAACCCCCUGACGGAUUGUUAUUUCCAUUUUACAGAUAAUGAAUAUAAGUUUUCAGUUGUUCAACUGGUUGUAAAUGAUCCAGGUCAUGUUAUGUUCUAGAACCUUCCCAGACUUCUUAUCUUACUACCCUUUGAGCUGUGCUGUCUCCCAAAGAGCAAUACAUAAACUCUCUGUUUCACAAUCAUUCCUACAAUAUUUAUUGAACAUCUAUUAUAUGUACUAGGGUCUGAAGAUAUAAAGAAAUCAUGAUCCCUUUCGGUAGAGGUAGCUCAUAGCCAGCCCUGGUCCCAAAUACCACAGUCUCUUCACCUGAAUUAUUGUAAUAACCUCUCAACUGAUCUCAUUGCUCCUGUCCUUGACCCCACAGUCCACUAAAAAGUUAGAGAAAUUCUUUGAAAUCACAAGUCAGAUCAUAUCACUCAGUUGUUCAAAUUCCUUCAAUGCCUUCCCAUCUCAUUCAGACUGUAGGUCAAAAUCCUAAAGUGGCCUAAAAUGCCCAACAUCCGCUGCACAUUAGAAUUAUCACAGGAUCUGUUUAAAAAUAUCAGUGCCUCCUCCCUCCAAAAUAUGAACCUUAUAUCCACCCCCUAACCGUGCUUGAGUGAGGGUUGUGCUUAUUGAAUUACUGACCCAAAAGGUAGAGUAAUGGAAAAGGUUGGGUGGGGGAGACUUUACAGUGUAUAACCUGUGUAUCUUGGCCAAAUGAUCAAGGGGGCAUCAUCAGUGAUAAGUCAUUAAGUCAUGUUGAUGGUACACACUUGAUAGAAUGUGAUGAGGAUACUUCAGUUCUGGAGUAUCCUUCCCCCAAACCCAUGACUUCAGGCUAAACAUGAGAAAAACAUCAAAGGCACGCUACCAAGCACCUGAACAGUACUCCUCAAAACUGGCAAGGAUAUGAAAAACAAAACAAAACAAAUGCCUAAGAAAUUGUUACAGACUAAAGGUGACUAUUGGAAUCAUGAUAACUAAAUGUAAUGUGGAAUCCUGGAUGUGGUCCUAGAAUAGAAAGACAUCAGCUGAAAAAGUAGUAAAAUCCUAAUAAAGUGUGGAGUUUAUUUAGUUAAUGUUGGUUUCCUGGUUGUACCAAAUGUACCAUGGUAAUGCAAAAUGUCAACCAUUGUAGAGGAAACUGGGUGGGGAGAUGCAGGAACUCCCUGUACUAUCUUUGCUACUUUUCUAGAAAGUUUUAUUCUAAAAUUAAAAGUUUAUUAAACCUUGAAAAAAAACAUGAUAGAAAACAACAAGAAGAACAAAUACCAAUGUCUGGGCUCUACUCCAAGUCAUUAAAGUUAGACUCUCUUGGGAUAAGACAGGGCUGUCUUAUAAUUUUUAAAGCUCACCAGUUGUUUCUAAGGUACAGCCUUGUUGAGAACCAUGGUCCUACUUCAUGAUGCCUCUCUAAUACCAUCUCCCACUCCUCUCUCUUCGUAACACAGUGUAUGGACAAUAGCCACUCUGCCCUCCUUGCUACACCCCCAAAUAUGCCAGGAAUAUUUGCAUUUCACAGUCUUUGCAUGCAUAGUUUCCUCUGACUAGAACACAACUUCAUUUAAACACCAGCAUUGCUUGCUCUCUUGCUUACUUCAAAUCUAUGUAAAAAACAAAAACCAACCAAACAAAAAACCCUGCCAUCUCAAUAAAGGGUCCCUGAAGACCAUCUUUCUAAAAAUAAACCACUUUCUUUCUAAAAGCAACUUUCCCCACCAGAACUGUUUCCCCACUUUCCCUGUUUAUCUUACCUUGUUGAGUUUUUUUCUUUUCAUAGCAUUUAAAAUUGCCUGGCAUUUUAUUAUAAAUAUGUUUAUGUGUUAUUAUAUUUGUGCCCCUACUAGAAGCUAAGCUCCAUGAUAGCUGGUAGUUUUUUUGUUUAUUGUUU